UUUUGUAAGAUUUGUGUACGGAAAAUCAAAUUAGAAAGAUAACUCGCGAUGAUUGAAUAAGCUCGAAGAAGUGGAUUUGAAUUUCAAAUCGUGUCUUUUUUUUAUGUGUGUGUGUGAGAAAUCUGAAGUGUUGUUUAGAUUUGUUGGAAUAGUUUAAAGAGAUUGUCUCUAUAAAAUUUGAAGACAUUUGAUGGAGAUUUGAUUAGAUGAUUUUGAACAACAAUUGCAACUGAAGAUGGAUAUGUAUAUUAUUUCCGUAGUUAGCAACGUGUUAUAUAUUUUUAUAGUGGAUAUAUUGUUUUCUCAUUCGGUGUUUGGUGUUCACAUUGGAGUCUGACUAAAUUUGGAUUUGCCCUAAGCUCCAAUCCCUUCCAUUAAAAGAGAUGCCCUCUUCCCUCUCUAAACUAGAUAUUUACGACUGCCCAUUGCUCAAACCACUACUAAAAUUUAACAAGGGGAAAUACUGGCCAAAUAUUGCUCAAAUUCCCAUCUUAUAUAUCGAUUUCGAAUGCAUGUGAUGAUUAAAACAAAUGACUCUCAAACAGAUGUAAGUUAUUCUUUUCCCUCAGAAGUUUUUUAUUUUUUGUUUACUUCACUUUGCUUUUUAGUUAAUUCUUUUCCAUUUUUAAACCUUGUUGAGCAGUGUGGAGUGUCUAUUGCUCAAACCAUAAAUGUUGAUUGGGAGAACCUUAAAUGAUUAAAACAAGUGGGGCUCCGAUAGAUGUAAGAAAGUUACAAAGGUACAAAUAUUUUUUCUUCUUUCUUCCUCACCACGAUGCUUAUAUUGGUUUUGCCCCACCUUACAUCUCAAUGAUGUUGGAGUAUAUCGGUUUUCUACUGCUAUUCAGAUACUUAAAGUGGGAAAUUGCUUUUGAAAAUAUUGUUUUCAUUGUUCGAAAGUUGUUUAACAUAUGAUUGACAUCUGUUGAUUCAAAUAUUUAUUUUUAUGCUGAUCUUCUUUUAUCUUUAGUUUUACAUGUCUUCUGAUUGGGUUAUAAUACAUGCCUCGAUUCUAUAGAAGAUGAGAAAUUGUCAAAUGCCUUUAUGAAGUGUUUGCUAAGUUGAUGUCACCUAAUUCACAUUUCACUGAAUUAAUUUCUGACCCAAGUUUAUGCAUAUGUGUUAAUCUAAUGUUGGAAAGGAAAAACGUCGAAUGAUCAACAUGUUCUAAAAAAGCUAGGCAAAACAAUAUAUUUUGCUGCUUAAUUCCUAGCUUUUAAAGGAUAUUCUAUGCGGAACUGAGCUCAUUGUUUAUUUUGUUAGUGGAAGCCAGAAGCUGAUAUGAUGCAUGAACUAGAGAGGAGGGAGGGUGAAUCACCAUCCUCCUGCCUCCAGCCUCCAAUGUGGCAUUUGACUAUGAAUUGCCUGAUGGAAAAGUUACUAACUUUGGUGCUGAGAGGUUCCGUUGCCCAGAUUUCCUCUUCCAGCCAAUGAUCCUUCCCGUGCGCUGAUCAUGGAUAAGACACUCAGAAGAAGAAACGAUGACACGAAGAUGGUUAGCUGGAAGGUGACUGAGAAAAAUUUCUUUAUAGGAGGAAAAUAGAAUCUAUCAUGAAGAAUCUGGGAUGAAGAUAUAGACCCACAGUGUGAAAGAGGUACCCUGGGGUAUGUAAUGAGUGAGGUUGAGGAUGGAAAGCCAUUCAGCCCAGUCGUUAAUGCUGCUAAACGCCUUGGCUACAUUGAACCAGGUGGAGAUAUACAGCCGUUGUUACGAGAAACAACCUUUGGUUAUCCAAGGUGCUGGAGUAGGAAAUGAUACCACAGCAGCUGGUGUCCUAGCUGAUAUCCUUGACAUUCAAGAUUUAUUCCCUUGACUGAGUAUUAUACACUGAAAUACAAACAUUCGAUCUCAAAGGAUGAAAAAUCGACUCUUCUUGUCCCUCUGCUUCCAGAUUGGAGAUUGAAAUCAGGCUAAGAUAGCUCACACAUUUUUUAGAAAAAUUUCUCGAUACACGAGAGUGCCUCGUCAGUUUACAGUAGAUUAUUACACAAUUUCUCUCGUGCAUAACCGUCGUAAAUGGAACAGUUCAAACUGAGUCAUUUGCUUCAGUGCUGGACUAGUUUUUAGGAUUUCACUUCAGCUUAUAAUCAGUUUGCUUUGUAAUGACCAUUUUGGUACCUCAACUUUUAAUGUUAUCACAAUUUUAGAGACUUAUCUCUUAGAUAUUAUGAUUUUCAAUGUAUGAAAUGAUGUGAUAUCA